rnacentral:lncRNA from 1 species
AAGGUUCUUACUACCACAGUACCAUUAAAGUAUCCAGAUUCAUGACAAAUUUAAGGCUAAGGCUACACCUCCUGCAAGUUGGGCUAUUCAGCAAAGAUAUUGUACGUAACCUUUUUUUUCAAGUAUAAUGUAAACUUUGUGCAGUUAAAUCAUAUAUAUAAAACAAAAUGAGCAGAGUACUUAAAAACAAAUUAAAUAGAAUUACAAGCUAGCAAAUUUAUAUUUUCUACCUGCACUAAAGUAAAUACAUGGGUGUUUUUUUUGCUAUACUUUUGGCUAUAGAUGAAAGAUUUAAAACAGAAAUCUAAACCUUUAUGGUGAAUUACGCGCAGAAGCUGAGGGAAGUAUCUGUGCAGACGCAGAAUGGUGCAUUGGUCAUUAAAACAACAACAAAAAAAGAAAACAAUUUGGUGCCCAAAGCAUCUCUGAGGUGUAAUGCAGACAAUCUACUUGCUACUUUCAGGACUCGACCUACAAUUUUAUUGUUGCUCCAAGAACGUUUGGGGAAAGGCCGCUGUGACGUAGAAUGUAGAACAUUCAUCGUUGCUCUAAUACUGGUAAUUGUUGAAAGAAAUAAAAGAUUCAUCUCUUUCUUCAUUGAACACUGUUGAAAUUUGAUGAAGGUUUCAUUAAAGAAUCUUGAUCAGAAGCACCAUUACUAAGAACUUUUCUUCUCUCAGAUUCUUCAAGUAAUCUCCUUAUAAGUUUCUCUUCAGCAUCCCUCAAGAACUUGAAUUUUGAUGGUGGUGAAGUUUUC